UGAGGAAUAUUGGUCAAUGGGCGAGAGCCUGAACCAGCCAAGUCGCGUGAGGGAAGACGGUCCUAUGGAUUGUAAACCUCUUUUGUCGGGGAGCAAGGCCACUCACGAGUGAGUGGAAGGAGAGUACCCGAAGAAAAGCAUCGGCUAACUCCGUGCCAGCAGCCGCGGUAAUACGGAGGAUGCGAGCGUUAUCCGGAUUUAUUGGGUUUAAAGGGUGCGUAGGCGGACUGUUAAGUCAGCGGUCAAAUGUCGGUGCUCAACGCCGGCCUGCCGUUGAAACUGGCGGUCUUGAGUGAGCGAGAAGUAUGCGGAAUGCGUGGUGUAGCGGUGAAAUGCAUAGAUAUCAUGAAGAACUCCGAUCGCGAAGGCAAGUGCCCGGGGUGCAACUGACGCUGGGGCUCGAAGGUGCGGGUAUCGAACAGGAUUAGAUACC
rnacentral:rRNA from 1 species